CGACCGGCGCACGGGUGAGUAACACGUAUCCAACCUGCCCUUUACUCGGGGAUAGCCUUUCGAAAGAAAGAUUAAUACCCGAUAGUAUAAUGAUUCCGCAUGGUUUCAUUAUUAAAGGAUUCCGGUAAAGGAUGGGGAUGCGUUCCAUUAGGUUGUUGGUGAGGUAACGGCUCACCAAGCCUUCGAUGGAUAGGGGUUCUGAGAGGAAGGUCCCCCACAUUGGAACUGAGACACGGUCCAAACUCCUACGGGAGGCAGCAUG
rnacentral:rRNA from 1 species